GAAAGCAACAGUAGUAAAAUAUGGCAAAUCCUACCUAUGGUCAAAUUGUUAUUCAGGUUUUAAUUCUUAAAAUAUGUACAUGCAGCAAUUUUAAAUGAAAACACUUCUGUCAUCAAUUUAGCUGCAUUACAGAGGUUAUAUCACUUCGAUGCAGGACAGCCCUGGAAACUCUGAGAUUAAGGGUGUCAUGUUAGGAAGGUUGAGUGAUGAAGGGCUAGGAUGAACAGAAUCUCAACCUUUAGAGUUGUUGUACUCCUGCUAAGAAGGUUGGGUGAGGAAAGUCUAGGAUAAACAGAUUUCAGCUUAGGAUGUCAAAUGGUAAGGACAUAAUAUGAUUUUUGUUAGGGAAUCAAUAAUGGAUUUUGUAUGGUAAGAUACUGCUGAGGAUUCAAGAAGAGAAAAGGGAGGAAAGAGGAAUAAGAAAGAGGAGAAGCUAACUAGGAAGAGAAAUAAAGGUCUAGUAAACAACUUGAUUUCAGUCAUUCACAAAACACUUGGAAGAUUAUGACUCAUGCACAUGUAUGAAAAAGUAUUCUUAUUGAAAUAAAUCCUUGCUCGUGAGCUUCCCUUGAGCUAGCAAUUCUGAGCUACUUCUUAGAUGUUAUAUGGGGAACUAGCAAUCCGCAACUAAUCUGUUUGUGUUUGGCACAGUGAUGCAUCAAGGUGAUGUUCUUUCAUUCUACUCAACUCAACUUAACUAA
rnacentral:misc_RNA from 1 species